ACUCCUACGGGAGGCAGCAGUGGGGAAUAUUGGACAAUGGGCGGAAGCCUGAUCCAGCAACGCCGCGUGAGGGAUGACUGCCUUCGGGUUGUAAACCUCUUUCAGCGGGGACGAAGCACCGGUUGAUGGUGGUGACGGUACCCGCAGAAGAAGCACCGGCCAACUACGUGCCAGCAGCCGCGGUAAUACGUAGGGUGCGAGCGUUGUCCGGAAUUAUUGGGCGUAAAGGGCUCGUAGGCGGUUUGUCGCGUCGGGCGUGAAAUCCACCAGCUUAACUGGUGGUCUGCGUUCGAUACGGGCAGACUAGAGGUAUGCAGGGGAGAACGGAAUUCCUGGUGUAGCGGUGAAAUGCGCAGAUAUCAGGAGGAACACCGGUGGCGAAGGCGGUUCUCUGGGCAUUACCUGACGCUGAGGAGCGAAAGUGUGGGGAGCGAACAGGAUUAGAUACCCUGGUAGUCCACACCGUAAACGUUGGGCGCUAGGUGUGGGGCCUAUUCCAUGGGUUCCGUGCCGCAGCUAACGCAUUAAGCGCCCCGCCUGGGGAGUACGGCCGCAAGGCUAAAGCUCAAAGGAAUUGACGGGGGCCCGCACAAGCGGCGGAGCAUGCGGAUUAAUUCGAUGCAACGCGAAGAACCUUACCUGGGUUUGACAUACACCGGAAAGCUGUAGAGAUAUGGCCCCUUUUUGUCGGUGUACAGGUGGUGC
rnacentral:rRNA from 1 species